GAUGAACGCUAGCGGCAGGCCUAACACAUGCAAGUCGAGGGGCAGCACAGGUAGCAAUACUGGGUGGCGACCGGCGGAUGGGUGCGUAACGCGUAUGCAACCUACCAUUGAUUGGGGCAUAGCCCGAAGAAAUUCGGAUUAAUACUCCAUAAUAUUCAUCAAAGGCAUCUUUUAUGAAUUAAAGCUUUUGCGAUCAAUGAUGGGCAUGCGUGACAUUAGUUAGUUGGUGAGGUAACGGCUCACCAAAACGAUGAUGUCUAGGGGUUCUGAGAGGAUUAUCCCCCACACUGGUACUGAGACACGGACCAGACCCCUACGGGAGGCAGCAGUGAGGAAUAUUGGUCAAUGGACGCAAGUCUGAACCAGCCAUGCCGCGUGCAGGAUGACGGCCCUAUGGGUUGUAAACUGCUUUUCCACGGGAAGAACCCUCCGACGUGUCGGAGGCUGACGGUACCGUGGGAAUAAGCAUCGGCUAACUCCGUG
rnacentral:rRNA from 1 species